rnacentral:rRNA from 2 species
AAAUUGAAGAGUUUGAUCAUGGCUCAGAUUGAACGCUGGCGGCAGGCCUAACACAUGCAAGUCGAACGGUAACAGGAAGCAGCUUGCUGCUUUGCUGACGAGUGGCGGACGGGUGAGUAAUGUCUGGGAAACUGCCUGAUGGAGGGGGAUAACUACUGGAAACGGUGGCUAAUACCGCAUAACGUCGCAAGACCAAAGAGGGGGACCUUCGGGCCUCUUGCCAUCAGAUGUGCCCAGAUGGGAUUAGCUAGUUGGUGAGGUAACGGCUCACCAAGGCGACGAUCCCUAGCUGGUCUGAGAGGAUGACCAGCCACACUGGAACUGAGACACGGUCCAGACUCCUACGGGAGGCAGCAGUGGGG